CGGGGUGAGUAACGCGUGGGGAACCUGCCUUGCACCGGGGAUAACACUUAGAAAUAGGUGCUAAUACCGCAUAAGCGCACAGAGCCGCAUGGCUCAGUGUGAAAAACUCCGGUGGUGCAAGAUGGACCCGCGUCUGAUUAGCUGGUUGGCGGGGUAACGGCCCACCAAGGCGACGAUCAGUAGCCGGCCUGAGAGGGUGAACGGCCACAUUGGGACUGAGAUACGGCCCAGACUCCUACGGAAGGCAGCAG
rnacentral:rRNA from 1 species